CCCUUAGAUGUUCUGGGCUGCACGCGCGCUACACUGAUGCAUUCAACGAGUUUUACCUUGGCCGAGAGGCCUGGGCAAUCUUUUGAACCUGCAUCGUGAUAGGGAUAGAUUAUUGCAAUUAUUAAUCUUGAACGAGGAAUUCCUAGUAAACGCAGAUCAUCAAUCUGCAUUGAUUACGUCCCUGCCCUUUGUACACGCCGCCCGUCGCACCUACCGAUUGAAUGGUCCGGUGAAGCCUCGGGAUUGUGGCGAGUUCCCUUUAUUGGGAGUUUGUCGCGAGAACUUGUCUAAACCUUAUCAUUUAGAGGAAGGUGAAGUCGUAACA
rnacentral:rRNA from 1 species